rnacentral:rRNA from 1 species
AGAGUUUGAUCCUGGCUCAGGACGAACGCUGGCGGCGUGCCUAAUACAUGCAAGUAGAACGCUGAAGAGAGGAGCUUGCUCUUCUUGGAUGAGUUGCGAACGGGUGAGUAACGCGUAGGUAACCUGCCUUGUAGCGGGGGAUAACUAUUGGAAACGAUAGCUAAUACCGCAUAACAAUGGAUGACACAUGUCAUUUAUUUGAAAGGGGCAAUUGCUCCACUACAAGAUGGACCUGCGUUGUAUUAGCUAGUAGGUGAGGUAACGGCUCACCUAGGCGACGAUACAUAGCCGACCUGAGAGGGUGAUCGGCCACACUGGGACUGAGACACGGCCCAGACUCCUACGGGAGGCAGCAGUAGGGAAUCUUCGGCAAUGGGGGCAACCCUGACCGAGCAACGCCGCGUGAGUGAAGAAGGUUUUCGGAUCGUAAAGCUCUGUUGUAAGUCAAGAACGAGUGUGAGAGUGGAAAGUUCACACUGUGACGGUAGCUUACCAGAAAGGGACGGCUAACUACGUGCCAGCAGCCGCGGUAAUACGUAGGUCCCGAGCGUUGUCCGGAUUUAUUGGGCGUAAAGCGAGCGCAGGCGGUUUGAUAAGUCUGAAGUUAAAGGCUGUGGCUCAACCAUAGUUCGCUUUGGAAACUGUCAAACUUGAGUGCAGAAGGGGAGAGUGGAAUUCCAUGUGUAGCGGUGAAAUGCGUAGAUAUAUGGAGGAACACCGGUGGCGAAAGCGGCUCUCUGGUCUGUAACUGACGCUGAGGCUCGAAAGCGUGGGGAGCGAACAGGAUUAGAUACCCUGGUAGUCCACGCCGUAAACGAUGAGUGCUAGGUGUUGGAUCCUUUCCGGGAUUCAGUGCCGCAGCUAACGCAUUAAGCACUCCGCCUGGGGAGUACGACCGCAAGGUUGAAACUCAAAGGAAUUGACGGGGGCCCGCACAAGCGGUGGAGCAUGU